GAAAAAUUACUAUUUCAUUCAUAAAAGGAAAAAUAGUUUACAUGGAUAGACCUUGUUUUAAACAAAAAUCACAACUCUUGUUUUGUGAAAAAGGGGUGCUUUUUGCUGUAGAACUCCUUGUUCUGGGAUCACUUAUCAUUAUUUCAGUGAUGAAGGAACUCUGAACUCCUAAGCAAACCAUGCCAUGACAUACUUUCUAUACAUGCACAAAAGUUGGAUAAAACACAAAACCAGCAUUUUGACAAAUUCACUUUAAAAUGUUUUCCACAUCAACUACUUAAAAGAAGUUACAACAAUAUUGAUCUUCCACUGCCCAGGAAGAUACAGUGAACUUGGAUAUGAUGAAGAACAUUAAAAACAAACACACUGAGCACCUGGUUCUGGCUGUGUGGGCUACAGAAAUGUUUCCUGAGUUUGUUUCAGGUGAUGUGUUGAGCAUCAACUGUGCACAGUUCACCAGCAGCAACACUCUGGUUCUUUAGUAUGUUCCUAAUGUGAACCUAUUUCUUUGAAUUUAAUCAUCUGGGAUGACUGCUGCAGUAUGAGUCUUUAGCAUUUUGAAAAUCCCUCAGAAGAAGAUUAAGAAGGUUCCUCUUCCCAGAAGACACUCAUAUAACUCACGCUUCUUCUAUAGGGCUAACUGUUCAGAAAUCGUAAGGUGCAUGGUCAUUACCAGGUGAGCAGCUCUGCAGGGGCCCAUGGCCCAUACUCAUCCCUGCGUGUCCAGGAGAGGCAGCCUGUAUAUGAGCAGUAGGAAGUGGCAUAACAAUGCAGAAGGGCUCAAGGCAACUUGGCAUUUUUUUGUGGUCAAACUCAGGCUCAUCAAGAGUCAUAUGGACUCAUCUCAAUUUGUAUAUACACCUUCAGACCCAUACAGAUAGAUGUAUAAAAACAUGAUCAUUUCUGUUCUUCACACAGUACUUAGAAUUCUGACAAGAAAUAUUACAAGUUUAUAUAAAUGCCCAUUUGCAUAUCAGCUUACAAAUUCAAAAGUUCUCAGAGGCUGGGCGCGGUGGGCCAUGCCUGUAAUCUCAGCACUUUGGGAGGCUGAGGCAAUGGAUCACUUGAGGUCAGGAGUUUGCGACCAUCUUGGCCAACAUGGCGAAACCCCGUCUCUAAUAAGAAUACAACCAGGUGUGGUGGCGGACACCUGUAAUCCCAGCUACUCAGGAGGCUGAGGCAGGAAAAUCACUUGAACCCAGGAGGUGGAGGUUGCAGUGAGCUGAGAUUGUGCCAUUGCAUUCCAGGCUGGGUGACGGAGCGACACUUUGACUCAAAAAAGAAAGUUCUCAGAGAAUAGGAAAUACUGUUUUAGCCAUCAGCUUUGGCUGAGAGUACUUCUGACACCCACAGGAAACUGCAAAGGUUUUCUCCCCAAGUUGUAAAUUCCUUUUAUCCAUUUAUGACAUUUUCUCUAUCAUGUACUAAAUUCUAUCCAUCUUCACAUUGAUUUAUUAUUGUUAUCAAAAUACAUUCAAACUGUUUAUAUACAUACACAUAUAGGUGGAUAUGUGUAUAUAUAUAUAUAUAUGUGUAUAUAUAUGUACAUAUAUAUUUAUUUGGUUGAAUCUUAUGAAACUGCUAAUUUUUGACCACAUUUGACCUAUGAAAUUAGUUUUUUUCAUAGGGUUGAACCUAAUGAAAUCUGAACCGUAGCUGGCUGGCUAUAUCUUAUAUAUUACUAAGCAGUACUUUCUGCUUUACUUCAGGGAGAAUGAAAAUCCUUACCCCAUUCACCAGUUCUCGUGUGGCCUUGCAAAAUUGUGCUUGCAAACUGCUAAUGAAUUUCAUAAAAAUACUUAGAGGUAUAGUAAUUUCCACGUAUUUAGCAUUUAACUGGAAAAAAAAAAAGGUCGAAACUGAGCAUGUUAUCUUUGUAACUACAUCACCCACUACUUACCUGGAACAGCCUACCUUAUCUUUAUAAAGACGGCUUUUGCAGGCUUAGGCCAGGUCUAGAAUCAACAGGCCAAACAAUAAAAUAUCAAAGCAUUUCAACUGGGAAUUCUGCUGCCUCUAUGUCCUCCAUAACAUUCAAUAUUUAGAGUGCCUGAGACACUGCGCUAAACACCAGUAAAAGAGAAACGCCCCGAAAACUUCAAGAAACUUACCAUCUUUCAAGAAAUAUAAAAAUAUAAAUAAUAGGGUAUUCUAGGUGUUUUAACUUUCAAACUGGGACAGAGUAAAAUGUAAAAAGACAGCACUUCAGAAGUUUUAAACUGACUUCAAAGGAAAAAGG